GCUUAACCGUAAACUUUAACUUACACCCAAAUCGCCUGGGAACUACGAGCAAUGCUUAAAACCCAAAGGACUUGACGGUGCCCCAUUCCACCUAGAGGAGCCUGUCCUAUAAUCGAUAACCCCCGUUUAACCUCACCACUCUUCGCUUGUCAGUCUGUAUACCUCCGUCGUCAGUUUACCACGUGAGCGAUCUCAGUAAGCAAAAAGGCCUUAUUCACCAAAACGUCAGGUCAAGGUGCAGCUAAUAGAGUGGGAAGAGAUGGGCUACACUCUCUAAUAUAGAAAAUACGAAAAACUACCGAUGAAACUCGAGUUAGAAGGCGGAUUUAGCAGUAAAAUGAGACAAAAGCGCUCAUUUAAACACGGCCCUGGGGUGUGUACACACCGCCCGUCACCCUCUUCGAAACCUAAAGAAUAGUAUGUAACACCCUAUUACCCAUAAAGAAGAGGCAAGUCGUAACAUGGUAAGCUUACCGGAAGGUGUGCUUGGAAAC
rnacentral:rRNA from 1 species